UUUUAUGUGAUAGCUGCCAAUCCAGUGCAGCCCAUAAAGUUCAGUAAGCCAUUGUUAAAGAGAAGAAGAUGGAAGGAAUCAUUAGCAAGGCUAUGAGUAUAUUAUGUCGACAUUUUUGGUUGUCACAGAGUAAAUUGUCUGCUCCCAUUUGAUGCUUGUGCUGUUAGUGUUUUGUCCCUAUCUAGCCUUACAAGAAGUGCAAAUAAUGGGAUGAAAAAAAGAAGAGAAUUGGACCCAAAUAAAAUUGGGUCUAAAAAAACUUCAGCCCGAGAGUAGCCCAUUCCACAGAGAGGCGAUAGCGGCAUCGGCGAGAAGCGGUGGGCAAGGACAAACAAGCCAGAUUUCUCGAGAAUUUGAUAUAGCCAGAAGCUGAUUAUGCCGCGGCCAUUACAGCCUUGUGGGCCACUGAAGGUGUAUACGAGGAGAGCUUUGCACACUGCUUGGAAGAUGGCAGCAAAACUCCAUCAGAAUUACAGGACACUUGCCAAAGAUGGGGCAAUGAAUGUUUUGGUGAAUGUUGUCGUUCUCUGCAGAAAAUUGCCAAUCGGUGUCUUGAGAAGGCUUCAAGUGACGUGCUUACAAAAGCUGAAGUAACUUUCUUGCGUGUUCUUGAACGUGAAGUUGAGUUUUGGAACAUGAGCCAUGGGGGUGCCCGAAAGAGUUGCCUUCAAAACCUGACAUAAUGGGGUUCCUAAUACGCAAGUAGAUUUUACUUCAGGCUAGUUUCUAGGUUUUUCUCUGUGCAUUGUAAGUGAAGUUCAAAUGUAAAGGACAUACAAGUGAUCUAUACUAAUACAUGAAAAUCGGUGGCAAUUAGCACUGUUUUUUCUACAGUGCUCGGUGCUCAGAGUGUUUUACA